rnacentral:rRNA from 1 species
CCUACGGGGGGCUGCAGUGGGGAAUAUUGCACAAUGGGCGCAAGCCUGAUGCGGCCAUGCCGCGUGUGUGAAGAAGGCCUUCGGGUUGUAAAGCACUUUCAGCGGGGAGGAAGGCGGUGAGGUUAAUAACCUCAUCGAUUGACGUUACCCGCAGAAGAAGCACCGGCUAACUCCGUGCCAGCAGCCGCGGUAAUACGGAGGGUGCAAGCGUUAAUCGGAAUUACUGGGCGUAAAGCGCACGCAGGCGGUCUGUCAAGUCGGAUGUGAAAUCCCCGGGCUCAACCUGGGAACUGCAUUCGAAACUGGCAGGCUAGAGUCUUGUAGAGGGGGGUAGAAUUCCAGGUGUAGCGGUGAAAUGCGUAGAGAUCUGGAGGAAUACCGGUGGCGAAGGCGGCCCCCUGGACAAAGACUGACGCUCAGGUGCGAAAGCGUGGGGAGCAAACAGGAUUAGAUACCCCGGUAGUC